UAGGGAAUCUUCCGCAAUGGGCGAAAGCCUGACGGAGCAACGCCGCGUGAGUGAUGAAGGUCUUCGGAUCGUAAAACUCUGUUAUUAGGGAAGAACAAAUGUGUAAGUAACUAUGCACGUCUUGACGGUACCUAAUCAGAAAGCCACGGCUAACUACGUGCCAGCAGCCGCGGUAAUACGUAGGUGGCAAGCGUUAUCCGGAAUUAUUGGGCGUAAAGCGCGCGUAGGCGGUUUUUUAAGUCUGAUGUGAAAGCCCACGGCUCAACCGUGGAGGGUCAUUGGAAACUGGAGAACUUGAGUGCAGAAGAGGAAAGUGGAAUUCCAUGUGUAGCGGUGAAAUGCGCAGAGAUAUGGAGGAACACCAGUGGCGAAGGCGACUUUCUAGUCUGUAACUGACGCUGAUGUGCGAAAGCGUGGGGAUCAAACAGG
rnacentral:rRNA from 1 species